GACGAACCGUGCGAACGUUGUUCGGAAUCACUGGGCUUAAAGGGCGCGUAGGCGGCUUGCCAAGUCAGGGGUGAAAUCCAGCAGCUUAACUGUUGAAGUGCCUUUGAUACUGGCGAGCUCGAGGGAGGUAGGGGUAUGCGGAACUUCUGGUGGAGCGGUGAAAUGCGUUGAUAUCAGAAGGAACGCCGGUGGCGAAAGCGGCGUACUGGACCUCUUCUGACGCUGAGGCGCGAAAGCUAGGGGAGCAGACGGG
rnacentral:rRNA from 1 species